UACGUAGGGUGCAAGCGUUAAUCGGAAUUACUGGGCGUAAAGCGUGCGCAGGCGGUUCUAUAAGACAGAUGUGAAAUCCCCGGGCUCAACCUGGGAACUGCAUUUGUGACUGUAGAGCUGGAGUACGGUAGAGGGGAUGGAAUUCCGCGUGUAGCAGUGAAUGCGUAGAUAUGCGGAGGAACACCGAUGGCGAAGGCAAUCCCCUGGACCUGUACUGACGCUCAUGCACGAAAGCGUGGGGAGCAAACAGG
rnacentral:rRNA from 1 species